rnacentral:rRNA from 1 species
UGUGUGGAAUAUUAGCACAAUGGGCGAAAGCCUGAUGCAGCAACGCCGCGUGAGGGAUGACGGCCUUCGGGUUGUAAACCUCUUUUAGCAGGGAAGAAGCGAAAGUGACGGUACCUGCAGAAAAAGCGCCGGCUAACUACGUGCCAGCAGCCGCGGUAAUUA